rnacentral:rRNA from 1 species
AGAGGGGGCAAGCGUUGUUCGGAAUUACUGGGCGUAAAGGGCGCGUAGGCGGCCUUCUAAGUCAGACGUGAAAUCCCUCGGCUCAACCGGGGAACUGCGUCUGAGACUGGAAGGCUUGAAUCCGGGAGAGGGAUGUGGAAUUCCAGGUGUAGCGGUGAAAUGCGUAGAUAUCUGGAGGAACACCGGUGGCGAAGGCGGCAUCCUGGACCGGUAUUGACGCUGAGGCGCGAAAGCCAGGGGAGCAAACGGGAUUAGAUACCCCGGUAGUCCUGGCCCUAAACGAUGAAUGCUUGGUGUGGCGGGUAUCGAUCCCUGCCGUGCCGAAGCUAACGCAUUAAGCAUUCCGCCUGGGGAGUACGGUCGCAAGGCUGAA